GCGGCUGCGGCGUCCAUCGAGCUGACGACGCCACCGGCACCACACGUGACCUGCUUCUCCAACACGCUGGAGGGCCACUUCCUGACCCCACCAACCUGCCUCCUCCCCUCCGCCGCCGCCACCGCCUCGCCGUUCCUGGCGAGCAUGGCGCAGUACGACGGCGACGCGGGCGUGGGCGGCAUGGUGCACGAGCUCCUGCAGGAGGCCGGCGGGUGGUACAGCAAGCUGGGCGAGAGGGAGCGGC
rnacentral:lncRNA from 1 species